rnacentral:lncRNA from 1 species
AUUUUUUAUGAAAUUAAUUUUGUAGAGUUCAAAUGCGUAGUUUUAUAGAAUGAAAGAUAUUCUAGAUAUUUUCCAGUUAUCUCUUUUUUUUUCCCACAAGAAUCUUAUACAAUAAUCUGUGUACCUCUUAUUAUUCAUGUGUGAGGUCAAAUACUUACACAUGAGUAUUCCACAAUUGAAGAUAUUAAAUUUGAAGAUUUUUCUAAGUGUUGACCACAGAUAUCCCUAUUUUUAAAGGAACAUAUAUGUUUUCUUUUGCGACAAGUAACUUUGAAGGUACUUUGAGACAAUGUGAAUAAUCUCUUCUCCAACAAACUUUAACCUAGUAGUUUUAGUACCCAUUGAUUAUCAUUGUAUUAUCACUGAAUUCCAUGAUUUAUGGAAGCCCUUGAAGUAAAGAUUAACCCCUAAAUAUACAUAUACAUAGUCAGACAUCUAGACAUUUUAAACACUUUAUCUAAUGGAAGAAGCAUAUAAACAAUACAUAAUUCCAAGGACUUAUUUUAAUGCCUAUGUUGUUUCCAUUGCUAAAAAUUUUAUAUUACUCUUCAUAAAAGCCAGUCUCUAAGUCACUCAAGUUUAAUAAACAUGUAAAUGAUGAUCAAAAUAUACACUACCUGAAGAUCACUCAUUUUGUUCAAGUUUAAGCCUAUCAUUAGGUAAUUGCUAUAAAGUUAUAUUACCUUUGUAUUUCCUUUAUAUAAUUUGAUUGAAUUUCAUUGAAUUAAUAUGUAAUGAGUUUUCUGAUAUUAGAAAAUAGUGACUAUAGGUUGAAAUAAUCAGUCUUCUUUUGGUUUCUCAUCAUUAACAGAUUAUUGUUUUCCAUUCUUCACCCUUGAAUAUCUUUUUUCUUUUUUUUUUUUCUUUUUUUUUUUUUUUUUUUUUUUUUUUUAUUGGCUGCACUUGCGGCAUAUAGAAAUUCCCAGGCCAGGGAUCAAGGGAUCAAAUCUGAGCCACAGGUGCAACCCAUGGCAUACCUGCCACAACACAGGAUCCCUAACCCACUACACCAGGCCAGGGUUCAAAUCCACACCUCAAACCCAAUGCCUGCACAGACAGCACAGGAUCCCUUGUGCACCACAGCAGGAAUUCAUCAAAUAUCUUACUUUAAAAUUCAAACAAACAGGAACAUUUAUCUGUGUACUUUAAAUAGGAAGUAGGUGUGACAUGGGAAUGAUAUUUGUUUACCACAUGUGAAUGCGAUUAUUUGGGGAAUUUAAAAAUACACUUCAUGGAACAAAAGUCAUUCAAUAAUAGAAACAUCAUGAAAUGCCUACUUCAAGAAACCUGAGUUUUAGAAAUAAUGUAUUUUGUUCAAUAAAAACAAUUCUAUUCUGAUCUGCCUAACACUGGAAAUCAACAUUUAAUUUCAGGAUUGUGAACAAUAAACAAAUAAAUAUAAUAGGAAGGUAGAAAUUUCUUCCUUUUCUUCUUUUCUCCUCUCCUCACCUUUCCUUUUUCCACAGAUUACUGAGCAAUAGAAAAUGAAAAAGAAAAUAUGAAUAUUUCAAUGAAUAAGAACUUAUUUAUCAAAUGAGUAUAAUACAUCAAUCACAAUGGUAAACAUUCUUAUUAAAGGCAGAAUCCCUUUUAAUUUUCACAAUAACUCUUUAUGGUGGAUGCUAUUUCUCUACCCGUUUUACAUAGAAACUGAGGACUAGAGAAUGUAGUGGUAUUUUUUAUUGCAACCUGCUUAUUCCUUCUCAAAAGAGUAACAAUUUUGAUGUUAUCUACUCUUCAUCUGUGAGUCUAUUCCACACUCAUUUAUUUGAAUUGGACAGACAUCAGUAAUUCUAUAUGAACCAUUCCUUAAUUCUUAAGUCAUGAAGAGAAAUUGGAAGCUUCUGGAAAAUAUUUACUUGCUAAUAGGAGAAAGCACAGGAAGGAAUGUUUUAACUUCUUCCUCUGAAUAUGAUUGUGUCUUGGUAACAACAGGAUUAUCUGUAGCCAUUGGCUGCAGUGAUGAUGAAAUUGACUAUAAGCAUGAUAGAUUACAGAGAUGAGAAAAAAAAAAACAAAACAAACCUGCAUCCUCGAUGGUAUUUCAAAGACACUGAUUAAAUCUGUCCAAAAAGCCAUGCUGUUGUCUAAUGAAGUUUAAGUCCAUUUGAAUUGGGGUUUCUUUUAUUUGCAACCGAAAGUAGCCUAAUUGAAAGAGGUUGUUUAAUAUAAUUCAGAGUUCUCCAAAAAAAACAAAAACAAAAACCCAGACCUAAAAGGAUGGAGAGAGACAGACAGAAGGAGAGAGAGAUGAUAGAUAUGUAGAUUUAGAUGUAUAGAUUAGACUUAUUAUAAGGAGUUGGCUCACAUAAUUAUGGAGGCUGGCCAAGUCCCAAGGUCUGCAGGAUGAGUCAGAAAGCAGAAGACCCAGGAAAGCUGGUGGUUUAAUUACAGUUUGAAGGCCAGCAGGCUGGAGACCCAGGGUGAGCUGAUGUUCCAGUUUAAAUCUGAGGGCAGGAAAAAAGCCAAUGUCCCAGUUCUAAGGCUGUCAAGUAAGAGGAAUUCUCUCUUACUUGAGGAAGAACGAGUAUUUUUGUUCUAUUAAAGACUUCAAUUGACUGGAUGAGGCCUACUCACAUUAUGGAGGACAAUCUGCUUUACCCAGAUUUCAGAUUUAAAGUUUAACUUUAUCCAAAAACACCAUCCCAGGAAGACUCAAAAUAAUGCUUAAGCAAAUAUCUGGCACUGUGGGACCUGGUCAAACUGACACACAAAAUUAAUCAUCACAGAGGUGUUAAAAGUUCACAAUGCUGUCAGUAGAAGAGAUAAGAUUUGAACCCAGGUGCUCUAUCUCAAGGGCUUCUGCUUACAAACACUAGGACAUAUUGACAUAAUUCCUUCAGAGAGAAAGAAAAGCUACUUUUUCCUAGGGUGAAAUGUAAAUAACCCUGAAAGUUAUCUCUAAUAAAAAUUACUAUGAAAGUUAGCUUUCUAGUUGGCUAAAAUAUCCCACCAUUGUCAUAACUACCAAAUAAUUUUCUUAAGAAGUAUUUUGUGAGUAGCUGGUUAAUUUUAUUUAGAAGUUGAGAGGGCAGAGUCAAUGUUACUUCAACAGGCUUCAAAGCCUUAGUGACUAGAAUGAUGACAAUGUUAAGAAAUAAUUCAAGUGUUUUGAUGGGGAAAUUCAAUCUUAGGUUCUAGUGACAGAUGCAUAUAGAGAUAUUCAAUAGACAGUAGAUAACCUAGAGUUCAGUUGAAAGAUUAAAACUAGAUAUAUAAAUCUGUGGUUACACGAUCUACUCUUUUUCAUGACUUUAAUGUAUAUGAUAUAUAUUAUAUAUAAUAUGUUUUAUAUAUAUAACACCUUGAUUGAGAUAUAAUUCAAAUACUAUUUGAAGUAAACAAUUCAAUAGUUUCCAACAUACUGAGUUGUGCAAUUCUUCUCUACAGUCAAUUUUAGAACAUUUUCAUUACCUGAAAAAAAGAAACCCUGGACCCAGUAGCAGUCACUUUCCAUUUCUUCCCAACCCAUGACAAUAGGCUUCUACUAAUCACCAUUUGUAAAGGUAUCUCCCUGGUACCAGGGAGAGGAAGAUGGCCAAAUUUUUAGAAAUUCUUUUCAAUAGAGGAGGUAAAGACUUAAAUCUGGAUCACAAUCACCCUUGUUUUCUCUGCUUUUCUCAUAAUUGACUCCCUACCCUUAACAUCCUCUUUUGUCUUUAGCUGAAGA